rnacentral:rRNA from 1 species
GUGGGGAAUCUUGCGCAAUGGGCGAAAGCCUGACGCAGCCAUGCCGCGUGAAUGAUGAAGGUCUUAGGAUUGUAAAAUUCUUUCACCGGGGACGAUAAUGACGGUACCCGGAGAAGAAGCUCCGGCUAACUUCGUGCCAGCAGCCGCGGUAAUACGAAGGGGGCUAGCGUUGCUCGGAAUUACUGGGCGUAAAGGGCGCGUAGGCGGACAGCUUAGUCAGAGGUGAAAGCCCAGGGCUCAACCUUGGAAUUGCCUUUGAUACUGGCUGUCUUGAGUUUGGGAGAGGUGAGUGGAACUCCGAGUGUAGAGGUGAAAUUCGUAGAUAUAGGAAGGAACACCAGUGGCGAAGGCGACCACCUGGACUGAUACUGACACUGAGGUGCGAAAGCGUGGGGAGCAAACAGGAUUAGAAACCCUGGUAGUCC